UAGUAGGAAAUCAAGGGCGUAUGGUGGAUGCCUAGGCUAGAAAAAGCGAUGAAAGACGCGGCGUGGCGGCGAUACGCUCCGGGGAGGUGCCGAGCAACCUUCGAUCCGGAGAUGUCUGAAUGCGGAAACGCAGUACGAUGAACUCGUACUAUCCCGAGCUUUAGCAAGGGAAGCAUACCGAGGGAAGUAAAACAUUUCAGUACCUCGAGGAAAAUAAACCAAUAGGAAUUUCGUCAGUAGCGGCGAGCGAACGCGAAUCAGUCUAAACUUUAUCUAAAUCGUAGUCGGGAUAUGCUUUCUCGAUUGCGAUUUAGAUAGAGGGUUGCAAGGUAGAGACGUGACAUUUAUGUCAGAGAAGUUACAAAGUCUAUUCUUAGGAGAACGAUCUGGAAAGGUCGGCCCCAGCGGGUGAUAGCCCCGUAUCUAAAAAUAAUAGACCUUCUUUGUUUCUAUUCUUAAGUACCCCGGGACACGAAUAGCUCGGGGGAACCCGCCGGAACUAACCGGCAAGACUAAAUACUCCAUAAGACCGAUAGCGAACUAGUACCGUGAGGGAAAGGUGAAAAACAGCCCGGAAGGGCGGUGAAAUAGAUCUGAAACCAUAUGCCUACAAGGAGUCAGAGCGGUCUUCGGACCGUCAUGGCGUGCCUAUUGAAGAAUGAGCCAACGAGUUUUAGCAAGCAGCUCGGCUAAAGUCGCGAGACUGGAGCCACAGGGAAACCGAGUCUGAACAGGGCGCUUGUUGUUUGCUAAGGACCCGAAGCCAGAUGAGCUUGCCACGCGCAGGGUGAAGUUCCUCGAAAGAGGGAUGGAGGCCCGAACCGGUUAGCCGUGCAAAACUAUCGGAUGACGUGUGGUAAGGAGUGAUAAGCUAAUCGAAUCUGGUAAUAGCUGGUUCUCUCCGAAAGAACUUUUGGGUUCGCGUCGGAUGUACCCAUACGGGGUAGAGCACUGGAAGGUCUCGAACGGGCGAAAGCUCACGAGACCUAUCAAACUCCGAAUACGUAUGGUAAUUAUCCGGCAGUUAGACUGUGGGGGCUAAGCUCCAUUGGUCAAAAGGGAAACAGCCCGGAUCUCAAUUUAAGGUCCCUAAAUCAACAUUAAGUGCGCUUAAGGUGGUGAAAUUUC
rnacentral:rRNA from 1 species